rfam:Oryza glumipatula chromosome 10, whole genome shotgun sequence.
AAUGUACGAUGCCGUUGACUUUUUGUCUAACGUUUGACCAUUCGUCUUAUUCAAAAAAUUUAUGUAACUAUCAUUUAUUUUAUUGUGAUUUGAUUCAUCAUCAAAAGUUCUUUAAGCAUGACAUAAAUAUUUUUAUAUUUGCACAAAAAUUUUGAAUAAAAUGAAUGGUCAAACGUUGGUUGAAAAGUCAACGACGUCAUACAU